CUAAAUACUUGUAUAGAUAAAUAUUUCUUGUAUAUUCUUCCCAUACAAGCAAGACUUGAAUACAGUUGUAGCUAGUCCCACUUUUAUAAUAAAAGCUUCCAAACUCUUUAUCAUAAACUUUGUCUGUGAGCUUGGGAAUACAGAGAAAGCAAGUUGAUCAUUCUGAGACCCUUCCUCAUUUGCCCUGAAUCAGUUCCCCAAGAUUGGACUGUACUUUAAGCUAGUUGUUGUAGCAGUGGUGGUUGUUGUUUUAUAUCUUGAGAUACUUCUAGAACAUUCUAGAAACAGGGUAUUCUAAAGGCUUACUUUAUAUGCCAUCCUUUUUGAACCCUCUUAUUUUAGAAAUUAUUACACGUGCACACUUAUGAUUUCAACCUUGUAAAAUAAUUUCAAAUUCAUUUCGUAUCCACAUUUUACUGCAGUUUCCCUAUCAUCAUCUCAAUAGUUAUAGAACUGGUUGAAAUUAAACUGUUUUGAACUAAGAAGUAGAUAUAUAUAUAUAUAUAUAUAUAUAUUUUUUUUUUUUUUUUUAAAGAGUGUUCAUAGAUAAACUCUGGCAUAAAGUUUGUAAAAAAGCAAUUUUUUAAAAGCAAAACGUAUAACCUCAGGUACAAAAAUAUUGCAUGCAUUAGUAUUGCAAAUUUGCCUACUCAAAUAUUAACCAAAGCAUGCAAGAUAACUUGACUGAAUUUAAAUUUACACAGUGCAUGAUUAAGUCUCAUAGGUUAGCCUGUUGUUCCUUGCCUCUAUACAAGGGAGCAUUUUUAUGAACUUUGUGUUACAGUUUUUCUAUUUGCUUUUCUUAUCCUAUCCUUGAGAUUGUUUUCAUGCUAUCACACUGAACUUUACAGAUAUUCACACAUCUGGUUUCUACAGUGUUACCAGUGCCAAACUAAUCCUCUGAAGAAUCUGGGACAUCUAAACACUUUUUCAAAAACCAGUUGAGGCACAACAGAUCCCAAACUUAAACAAAUCCAAGUGUCUGAAUGCUACUAAACUAAAUCAUGUUGACUGCCUCAGCACAUAAAGGUUUCGACUUUAAAUUCUUAAUAAUGCAUUUCAAAAUUUUUCUAAAAGUUUGGGAAUAAAUUAGAAAAACUGAUAUUCUAAAUAAGGCGAGGAGGUUGGGGUAAUGUCAGGCACAUCAAAAUCAUCACACAACGAAGUAGAUAUGGGGCCUUAAUUUUCAUAAAUGUCACAUAGCAAGUGUGUGGGGUAUCACAACAUUGUUCUGAUACAGCCCUGUUUGUAUGGUAGUUGAGCUGCUUGGGCUAAAUGUCCCUUGAGAAACUGGACUUGAUCAACAGGUCUAAAAACACUGAUAUUUAGGGAGUGAUGAGGUGAUUUCACGGUCACUCAGAACCAACUCUGAAAUCUUCUCACUGCCUUUUCCCAUAACCCCUAUUUUAUGAGGAGACCAGAAAGGGAGAGAGCAAAGCUCAGUGAGACCAUGUGGUCUUACAUUAGUAACAGCUUUGUUACUCACUCCAUAUACCCCGGUACCCUCACACACAUACCAUGAACUCAAAGACAGAAUUCUACACAUAACACACAUAGCAAAGACGAUUGUGGGGAGGCAUUAAACAGUUAAGAGGAAAAAAAAAAACACAGAAAAUUAAACUGUGAGGUUUAACAACCUCUCAUGUGGUAUUUUGCCUUGAACGAAGUUUCCACUACCUGCAGCUUCUGCAGAAAUACCAAAAUAACACAGUCUAGAGACAAGUGUCCCAAUGUCAGAACUGUUUUCUCAGGACCUUCUCUAUAAGAGAAAACUAACUUGCAAUGCUGCAGAAUGUCAGAGCAAAACCCUGAUGAGCUCCGUGGGAUACUUAAUAGAAGCCUGCACUCAAAAUAAUAUUAAGAUGGAAACAACAACAACAAUUAGGCAGUUCUUUGCUCAACUAUAAAAUGUGUAUCAUUCAUUGGGGGAGGGGGAGGGGUCGUGUUCUUUGGAUUUCUUGGAAAGGGAAAUGGUAUAACACAAAAAGACUAAGAGGUAUACACACUCAGCUCGGUAAUUCGAGCAUUUGGCAUUUUCACUGAGAUAUAUAGCAUUUCUGCAUGGAUACCAUACAAGAAUUCUGCCAUGUGAGAAAUGUGUUCAUGAUGGACUACAUUACCAGUAGUUAAGGGAAAUACAGCAAACUUAAGUUUUUACCAACUUCCUUUCAUGUUCCCUAUAUAUCAUCUAACCCAAACUUUCAAUUUACAUUGCCCAAAUUUGUUUACAUUGGUUGAAAAAAAACUGAUUAAUUUAUUAAACUUUUUACAAACUGUAACAAACAUUUAACUAUUUAGAAAAGACAUUUCUACAUAUUUUAUAUAUCUAUGAAUAUUGCAUCUCUAAUCUAAUCUAAAAAUGUUGUUUUGAGACAAUUCUUCUGUGAUGCUUCCUCCUCAUGCUCAUAAAUGUUUAAAGUCUUGGGAUUUCAUUUUCAGGCUGAAAUAGAUAACAAGAAAAAAAUUUAAGUUUAAAUGUUUACAUUGCGUUACUAAAUUAAUACCAAUUCAAAUUAAGUGACCUAUAGUAAAUUAAUGGCAAUGGGGGGGAGGGGAUUUUAAAGUGAUUGGCAUAUUAUGUGAUACUGUAUCAGUGAUUUAGUGAAAUAAUAUGUAUCAUAGCACAACUCUGUUGGGUAUUAAGGCUUCAUCUUAGUAUUUCCCUGCGUUGCUCUUUGAAAUAAAAUUACUACCAUAAAAAUAACCUCUUAUCAUAUUGAUGUGUUUAAUUUACUCAGUUGGCUUCUAAUUUGCGUAACAAGAUUAAGGUAGUAUUUUUGUACUAUUAUUGGAAGCAUGCCUUCCCUUUUUCACAUUAUUAAAUUGUAUUUAUAUUUGUGCAAUUUUAAACUAUGUUUUCAAAUAAACUUUGUCUGCGGCUUCGAGGUCUUUUCAGGAAUCUUUCAAAAUGGGAUUUGGGGAUCAGAACUCCUUCUGAUCAAAUGGAAUCCAAUUUGUACUACUGGCUAAAGGUCCUUUUAUUAAAUAUUGAAUAUCACUACAUAUGAUUUUGCAUGAGCUAUCUGGAAAUCAGGAAUGCAUUUUUGGAUAUAAAACAAAACUUUAAAAAUCUUCCUCCUUUGUUAAUUUUUUAAGACUAAAAUAUUAUUUAACCUGAAAUUGAAUUUUGUGAUUCUUUUUAGAAUAAAAAUAUUAAAA
rnacentral:lncRNA from 1 species